rnacentral:lncRNA from 1 species
CACUCAUUGAGUGUGAGUGAGCUUUUAGAAUACGGGCGUAAGUAUAGAACCAUUGUUACGGCUGUUUGAAGGUCCGUUUACACUUGCAAUUUUUUUGCUGCGAUUUCUAAUGUGAUUUUCUUCUUCCGAUGCAUGUGAUCGAGUGGAUGAGUAGUGAAUAGGAAGGUAUAUGAACCUUAUGUAAACAUUUAGUAACUCAUCUACUCGUCUAAGUGUAGACUCGGACCUUAAGAAACGUGUGGUUGACCCAAUAGACAAUUGAAAUCAUAUACAUCAAUUGUGUUAAGUAUCAAUUAUAGAUGUGAUGACUCCUUUAUCCAAACAGUCAUAACCGAUUCACUUGGCUCUUCUACAGUAGACCAAUUUCGAAAAUCUUGGUGUCAAAGUACAUCUCUUAGAUUGAAUUAUCGAUACUUACUAAUAAUUCAAACGGUUUCAUAGUGAAAUCAAUUUAGGCCACGGUCAAAUGUCGAAAUUUUCAUGUGCCGAACCUAAUGCAAAUGAAGUGAAACAAAGAACUUAGCUCAUUAACAUUAGGUUCGGCACAUGAAAAAUUCGACGUUUGACCCUGGCUUUAGACACAAAUGAAAGCGAUAUGAAACUUAUUAAGACGAGAAUCUUUUGUAUCAAGUGGCAAAAUUAAGAAGUAUGUUUAACGCUUUAUCUGUAAAAUAAUGAUGAUACGCCAAAGGGCAAAGAGAAAAUGAUGUCUGAAGUUCAGUAUGGUUUGUAUAAAUAUGGUGUCAAUUUUACAGCAUCAAUGAUAGUUGUAUUUAAAUUGACAAUAUUUAACUAUUAUUUUGUGUUUCUCAACCGCCAGAUACACUUAAAAAGGUUGCUAACUGUGUAAACAUAUUUCAACUAGUGUAGUAGUGAAAAUGAUGAUGGUAUCGAAACGUCGAUCGUUGUCUAAUAAAUGUAAUAUCGCGCUUUCACACCUGUUUAAUAAUUACAGAUUUACAGUCUGUAAUUAUUAUACAGGGUGUAUUUACAGUACAAUUUGUAAAUAUAAUAUUCUCCGUCGUGAAGUAAAGUAAUUUAAUAGACAUACGUAUAGUUGUUGUUUUUCAUCAAAGUUAUCCACUUCAGAAUUCAUUCCGUUGCUAAUUGUCUAAAGGCACACAUUGGAUAUAAUUACAGUAUUGUAUGGAAAUAAAACCGCAUUAAUUUGUUCAAGCCAUUUUAAAUUGUUUUUGAAAUCCGGCCAACAUUUCAUGCCUUGUGUAGACACUAAGUAUGCGGAAUAUGAAGGAAAAGAAAUGAAGAAAUAUAACAUUGACCGAAGCCUGACCCUAAAAUCCUUGUAUACCCUAAGUGAAGUCACUGAACCUUCUUUAAUUAAGGUUUCAGUUAAUGUCUUUUCUUUUCUUUCAUUUGAAUAUUUAAUGUCUACAGGACUCAGAUGGAGCUGCAUGUAUCCUUUCGAAUCACAAUCAGCCAAUUUUUAAGUCGGAAUAUUAUUGAGAUGAGAUUUUAAAAUCUGUCAGAAUCUCUGUAAACCGGAUCACGACCUGUUUAAAUUAGCUACAUUAUCUGAUCAAGCAAAUGUAUUUUCCAAUGUAACGUAAAAGAUAUCCCACCUCUCCUCUCAUGAGUUUUAGGGGCUGUUUAUAUGGAAGUGAGCCAGCCUGAGUACCCGAACUGGCUGGCAUCCCCGAGAAGAACUCACUGGCUCGCACCACGCGUUUACAUGAAACUUUAUACAUGAAGGGCUGGCUCUUCUUGUUCUAAUUUUUUUGCGUAAACAACUCCAUAUAUGGAAGUUGGUUCCCUAUAUGGGAGUUGUUUGUGCAUUCUGAAUUAUUCUAAUUAUUUGCGCAUGCGUAUGUGCUAAAUUUCUCCUAUUGCGUUUAUAUGGAAAACUACCCAGCCCGUUUACCCGAGGUCUCGGGUC